rnacentral:rRNA from 1 species
GACGUAGGGGCCGAGCGUUGUCCGGAGUUAUUGGGCGUAAAGCGCGCGCAGGCGGCUUCGCGCGCCCGCCGUGAAAGCCCCCGGCUUAACCGGGGAGAGUCGGUGGGGACGGCGGAGCUUGAGGGCGGGAGAGGUCGGUGGAAUUCCCGGUGUAGUGGUGAAAUGCGUAGAGAUCGGGAGGAACACCUGUGGCGAAGGCGGCCGACUGGGCCGACCCUGACGCUGAGGCGCGAAGGCGUGGGGAGCGAACGGG